CGCAGACAGUUUUCAUUCCCAUUCUUCAAAGAGGAAGAUGAAUUCUGAGACACCGACAAUGCAAAGCAGGAGACCAAAGUAGGGCGACACUCAUUUUCCUCUCAAUAACAUGACCUCGUUUCCCUUGUGGCUGGAUAAAACUCCAUUGUACGGACUCAUCACGCUUCCUUCAUCCAUCUUGACGACAGCCACGUGGGUGACAGGCGAGAUGGAAUCCCAGCGCAGUUUUUAAUCGACAUUUCCCUGCUAGGUCAGAAUGUGUUGGUUUUAUUUCUAUGUAUUAUUACAGCGUGUAUACUGUGAAGGGAAGGGUUGUCGUGCACAUGCUUCGGCACAUGUGGAUGCGAAGACGGUUUUGUUGGCUCUUUCCACAUUUACUCGGGAUCAGACUGGUGUUACCGGCUCUGGCCGCAAGUACCUCAGCUGCCGAGCUACCUCACCAGCCACGGACUGGCUGCCCCUGACAACUGUCCAAUCCGCAUGCUCCUUCGUUACCUUCAUGAGUUCUUUAUACAAAGCACUAACUUCGAUGUUUCAUUAAUGAAUUCGAUGUUUUGUUUUCUGUGCACUGA
rnacentral:lncRNA from 1 species